rnacentral:rRNA from 1 species
CUACGGGCCGCUGCAGUGGGGAAUAUUGGACAAUGGGGGAAACCCUGAUCCAGCAAUGCCGCGUGUGCGAAGAAGGCCUUAGGGUUGUAAAGCACUUUCAGUAGUGAGGAAAAGUUUAAGGCUAAUACCCUUGAACCCUGACGUUAACUACAGAAGAAGCACCGGCUAAUUUCGUGCCAGCAGCCGCGGUAAUACGAAGGGUGCAAGCGUUAAUCGGAUUUACUGGGCGUAAAGCGCGCGUAGGCGGUUUGAUAAGUCGGAUGUGAAAGCCCCGGGCUCAACCUGGGAAUUGCAUUCGAUACUGUCAGGCUAGAGUAUGGUAGAGGGAAGUGGAAUUCCACAUGUAGCGGUGAAAUGCGUAGAUAUGUGGAGGAACACCAGUGGCGAAGGCGACUUCCUGGCCCAAUACUGAUGCUGAGGUGCGAAAGCGUGGGGAGCAAACAGGAUUAGAUACCCCAGUAGUC